rnacentral:rRNA from 1 species
CGUGUAGGCGGAUCUGCCAGUCAGAUGUGAAACCCGGCGGCUUAACCACCGGCCUGCAUCUGAUACUGCAGAUCUUGAGUACGGGAGAGGAAAGCGGAAUUCCAGGUGUAGCGGUGACAUGCGUAGAUAUCUGGAAGAACACCGGUGGCGAAGGCGGCUUUCUGGACCGAUACUGACGCUGAGGCGCGAAAGCCAGGGGAGCAAACA